AUUGAACGCUGGCGGCAGGCCUAACACAUGCAAGUCGAGCGGAUGAAGGGAGCUUGCUCCUGGAUUCAGCGGCGGACGGGUGAGUAAUGCCUAGGAAUCUGCCUGGUAGUGGGGGAUAACGUCCGGAAACGGGCGCUAAUACCGCAUACGUCCUGAGGGAGAAAGUGGGGGAUCUUCGGACCUCACGCUAUCAGAUGAGCCUAGGUCGGAUUAGCUAGUUGGUGGGGUAAAGGCCUACCAAGGCGACGAUCCGUAACUGGUCUGAGAGGAUGAUCAGUCACACUGGAACUGAGACACGGUCCAGACUCCUACGGGAGGCAGCAGUGGGGAAUCUUGGGCAAUGGGGGAAAGCCUGAUCCAGCCAUGCCGCGUGUGUGAAGAAGGUCUUCGGAUUGUAAAGCACUUUAAGUUGGGAGGAAGGGCAGUAAGUUAACACCUUGCUGUUUUGACGUUACCAACAGAAUAAGCACCGGCUAACUUCGUG
rnacentral:rRNA from 1 species